UACGUAGGGUGCAAGCGUUGUCCGGAAUUAUUGGGCGUAAAGAGCUCGUAGGCGGUCUGUCGCGUCGGAUGUGAAAACCCAGGGCUCAACCCUGGGCCUGCAUUCGAUACGGGCAGACUAGAGUUCGGUAGGGGAGACUGGAAUUCCUGGUGUAGCGGUGAAAUGCGCAGAUAUCGGGAGGAGCACCAGUGGCGAAGGCGGCACUCUGGGCCGGUACUGACGCUGAGGAGCGAAAGCGUGGGGAGCGAACAGG
rnacentral:rRNA from 1 species